rnacentral:rRNA from 1 species
CGAGCGGUAGAGAGAAGCUUGCUUCUCUUGAGAGCGGCGGACGGGUGAGUAAUGCCUAGGAAUCUGCCUGGUAGUGGGGGAUAACGUUCGGAAACGGACGCUAAUACCGCAUACGUCCUACGGGAGAAAGCAGGGGACCUUCGGGCCUUGCGCUAUCAGAUGAGCCUAGGUCGGAUUAGCUAGUUGGUGGGGUAAUGGCUCACCAAGGCGACGAUCCGUAACUGGUCUGAGAGGAUGAUCAGUCACACUGGAACUGAGACACGGUCCAGACUCCUACGGGAGGCAGCAGUGGGGAAUAUUGGACAAUGGGCGAAAGCCUGAUCCAGCCAUGCCGCGUGUGUGAAGAAGGUCUUCGGAUUGUAAAGCACUUUAAGUUGGGAGGAAGGGUUGUAGAUUAAUACUCUGCAAUUUUGACGUUACCGACAGAAUAAGCACCGGCUAACUCUGUGCCAGCAGCCGCGGUAAUACAGAGGGUGCAAGCGUUAAUCGGAAUUACUGGGCGUAAAGCGCGCGUAGGUGGUUUGUUAAGUUGGAUGUGAAAUCCCCGGGCUCAACCUGGGAACUGCAUUCAAAACUGACUGACUAGAGUAUGGUAGAGGGUGGUGGAAUUUCCUGUGUAGCGGUGAAAUGCGUAGAUAUAGGAAGGAACACCAGUGGCGAAGGCGACCACCUGGACUAAUACUGACACUGAGGUGC